rnacentral:rRNA from 1 species
CUCAGGAUGAACGCUAGCUACAGGCUUAACACAUGCAAGUCGAGGGGCAGCAUGGUCUUAGCUUGCUAAGGCCGAUGGCGACCGGCGCACGGGUGAGUAACACGUAUCCAACCUGCCGUCUACUCUUGGACAGCCUUCUGAAAGGAAGAUUAAUACAAGAUGGCAUCAUGAGUCCGCAUGUUCACAUGAUUAAAGGUAUUCCGGUAGACGAUGGGGAUGCGUUCCAUUAGAUAGUAGGCGGGGUAACGGCCCACCUAGUCUUCGAUGGAUAGGGGUUCUGAGAGGAAGGUCCCCCACAUUGGAACUGAGACACGGUCCAAACUCCUACGGGAGGCAGCAGUGAGGAAUAUUGGUCAAUGGGCGAGAGCCUGAACCAGCCAAGUAGCGUGAAGGAUGACUGCCCUAUGGGUUGUAAACUUCUUUUAUAAAGGAAUAAAGUCGGGUAUGGAUACCCGUUUGCAUGUACUUUAUGAAUAAGGAUCGGCUAACUCCGUGCCAGCAGCCGCGGUAAUACGGAGGAUCCGAGCGUUAUCCGGAUUUAUUGGGUUUAAAGGGAGCGUAGAUGGAUGUUUAAGUCAGUUGUGAAAGUUUGCGGCUCAACCGUAAAAUUGCAGUUGAUACUGGAUAUCUUGAGUGCAGUUGAGGCAGGCGGAAUUCGUGGUGUAGCGGUGAAAUGCUUAGAUAUCACGAAGAACUCCGAUUGCGAAGGCAGCCUGCUAAGCUGCAACUGACAUUGAGGCUCGAAAGUGUGGGUAUCAAACAGGAUUAGAUACCCUGGUAGUCCACACGGUAAACGAUGAAUACUCGCUGUUUGCGAUAUACUGCAAGCGGCCAAGCGAAAGCGUUAAGUAUUCCACCUGGGGAGUACGCCGGCAACGGUGAAACUCAAAGGAAUUGACGGGGGCCCGCACAAGCGGAGGAACAUGUGGUUUAAUUCGAUGAUACGCGAGGAACCUUACCCGGGCUUAAAUUGCAGAUGAAUUACGGUGAAAGCCGUAAGCCGCAAGGCAUCUGUGAAGGUGCUGCAUGGUUGUCGUCAGCUCGUGCCGUGAGGUGUCGGCUUAAGUGCCAUAACGAGCGCAACCCUUGUUGUCAGUUACUAACAGGUUCCGCUGAGGACUCUGACAAGACUGCCAUCGUAAGAUGUGAGGAAGGUGGGGAUGACGUCAAAUCAGCACGGCCCUUACGUCCGGGGCUACACACGUGUUACAAUGGGGGGUACAGAGGGCCGCUACCACGCGAGUGGAUGCCAAUCCCCAAAACCUCUCUCAGUUCGGACUGGAGUCUGCAACCCGACUCCACGAAGCUGGAUUCGCUAGUAAUCGCGCAUCAGCCACGGCGCGGUGAAUACGUUCCCGGGCCUUGUACACACCGCCCGUCAAGCCAUGGGAGCCGGGGGUACCUGAAGUGCGUAACCGCGAGGAGCGCCCUAGGGUAA